rnacentral:rRNA from 1 species
UCGAGAAUCUUUCGCAAUGGGCGAAAGCCUGACGAAGCGACGCCGUGUGAACGAAGAAGGUCUUAGGGUUGUAAAGUUCUUUCGCUGGGGAACAAGAGAGACUGGCUAACAUCCAGUUAAUUUGAUGGUACACGGUAAAGAAGCACCGGUUAACUCCGUGCCAGCAGCUGCGGUAAUACGGAGGGUGCAAGUAUUGAUCGGAAUUACUGGGCGUAAAGGGCGCGUAGGCGGCGAGAUAAGUCAGAUGUGAAAUUCCGGGGCUCAACCCCGGGGCUGCAUUUGAACCUGUCCGGCUACAGUAUAGUUAGGGAAAACGGACUUCCACGUGUAGCGGUGAAAUGCGUAGAUAUGUGGAAGAACACCGGUGGUGAAGACGGUUUUCUAGGCUAAAACUGACGCUGAGGCGCGGAAGCGUGGGGAGCAAA